rnacentral:rRNA from 1 species
UUAAACUAGGGAUUAGAUACCCUAUUAUUAAAAUUUAAAUUUAAAAUACUAAAAAAGUAUAUAAUUAUUUAUUGAAACUUAAAUAAUUUGGCGGUAUUUUAGUUCAUUUAGAGGAAUCUGUUUAAUAAUUGAUAAUCCACGAAUAAAUUUACUUAAUUUUUUAUUUUGUAUAUCGUUGUUAUAAAAAUAUUUUUUAAUAAUAAUAAUAUUUUAAAAUUUUAAUUAAAAAUUAAAUCAGAUCAAGAUGCAGAUUAUAAUUAAGAAUAUAAUGGAUUACAAUAAAUUUAUUUAAAUGGAUAUUAAUUUGUAAAAUUUAAUUGAAGGUGGAUUUAAAUGUAA